AUCUAACGGACGAUCGAGAGUAGGAGAAAAGAAAGGCGCAUCACUUUUGAUAUCAUAUCCUCUUUUUAUGAUCCUAAUUUUUU
ensembl:ncRNA T24B8.23 ncRNA